GGAUUAGAUACCCUGGUAGUCCACGCCCUAAACGAUGAACACUAGUCGUCGGUUUCAUUUAAGAGAUUGGUGACGAAGCUAACGCGUUAAGUGUUCCGCCUGGGGAGUACGGCCGCAAGGUUGAAACUCAAAGGAAUUGACGGGGGCCCGCACAAGCGGUGGAGCAUGUGGUUUAAUUCGAUGCAACGCGAAGAACCUUACCAGCCCUUGACAUCCUCGGAAUUUGGCAGAGAUGCCUUAGUGCCUUCGGGAACCGAGUGACAGGUGCUGCAUGGCUGUCGUCAGCUCGUGCCG
rnacentral:rRNA from 1 species